ensembl:lincRNA
ACUGGAGGCUCCGCCCAGCCAGACCUGUAGCUUCUCUACUGCACUGCCUACCGGGAAGGUCCUCGAGAACUGUAUUCUCAUAUCCGUCGCCCAUCACUUGACUUCUAGGUAUUCAUUUUUCGAGUCUUUGUAUAUUCUAGACAUUAACCCUGACGUGUUCAGCUAGCAAGGUACUGCACGGUCCAAACUCGCUCUCCAGAGCGCCCAGCCCGUAAUGACCUCCCGUCCUCAGUCUUCUCGCUCAGAUUUUGUGGGGUGUGUGAGCAGUCCGGGUAGAACUAACUCGUGGAACCAGAUGAGAGUGAACUCGGAAACUGUAAUACAGUUGGUUUUUCAUCUAUGAUACAUCUUUUAGUAUGUUUAAGAGCUAAUCCCAUUCAUUUGUAAUUUUGAUAGUAAACUUUGGAUAAGAAUUUUUCCUGAAGAAACACUGGCGUUUGCUUUGUGGGUGAGUGAGUGUCCGCUGAGAGAGCAGGUAUUCAGCAUGAACUCCUUUUUUUCCUCAAGCAUUUAAUAUCCUUUAAAAUUCUUCAAGAUCUUUAAGAUAUGCCCUAUUUUAUAUAUAAAGAUAAAGGAGGAAAUUGAUGCAUUUAAAUAAUGUGAAAUUAAAGUAUAACUUCCCUGUACACGUACUAUCUCAAAUCAAUAAUAAAGGUGAGUACCGCUCUUUUGCCUGUUAAGGAAACUCAUCUUAUUAAAAAACAACAACAACAAAAAAGCAGCUGAAACGAAUUUUUCUCAUGACACAAAUGGACUAAUUGUAUAGGUCUCAAAAAUGUUUUAAAAAGUACCCUAAGAAGAAAGUUUUCUCAUUGGACUACACAGAAGCCAUCAUCUGGGCACGCGCGGGGGUGGGGUGGGGUGGGGUGGGGAUGUACAUAGAGGGAUGCAGGGCAGCUGCUAGUCUGGUAGCCUCUCCUGAAAACCUCACCUAGAGAUUUAACCUUUAAUAACUUGCCCAGGACUGUGCCACACCUGAAGGAAUAUAAACUCCUGUACAGCACUUGUCAAGUCAUGGACCCAGUAUGGGUGUCCAUCAUUGGAUGAAUGGCAAAACAGCACAAGCACACAGACCCCAACUCCCCAGGGCACACACUCAAGCAUUCUCUCAGUCUGAUUCUAGUAUCCUGUCCCUCAUAUCCAUUCUUUAAGACUGAUCCCUAGUUUAAGUCAACUGAAAUCUGUUUUAUGGUGGUGGUGCCUGUCCUGUCUGGUGAGACUCCUGGUACCUCCUGUGAGUUUGCAGUAUGCUCAAAGUUCCUCUCCCUAUGCAUGACAGAAGCCCCUGCCCCCUUGCACUCCUUAAUCCAUUCUGACAUGCAGAUUUGGUUUAUAGGUGUUAUCUAUUGUGUUUCCUAUGAUUUCCAAAUUGUGAAUUGUGCAGCUUCCAAGUUGCAAGUCAUAUCUAAGUGUGAGCUUAAAAGAAUUCAAAAUAAAUUUGGAAAAGGGGGCUGGGCAUGGAGGUCAGUGGUACAGUGUUUGUCUAGUGUAUAGUGAAGCCCUGGAUUCUAUUCCUGAAAUUAAAAGGGACAAAGAAGGAACUGGGGAGGGAGAAAUGAAAUAAAGUCACCAACUUUGUGGCCUGCAGCAGAAACAAGGUCCACAUGUAGAUUUGUAACACUGGCUGUGUACCCUGGAAAGAAGAAAGAUCUGGUGUUAGUAAUUUAAACUUCAUCCUGAGAAUAUUAGAAAGCAAACAGUAACAGAAAGAAACAGGAAAAUCAUUUAAAAACUGGAAACAGAAUUUCAACAGGGAAAAAAAUGGGAAUCAAUUUUAGAUUCCUAAAAGGACAACACAUCAAAAUGUUGCAAGAGGGAUUACCACUGUUGAUAACAUGACUUUCUAGGAAUAUGAGAAGGGGCACAGAGAUGCUUCUAAGACUGCUAAUCAUGUGCCAGCACUGGCUGGCCCUUACAGUAUUUUAUAUGUAAACAAUAAAAAAUACAUGUAUUCCUUC